rnacentral:rRNA from 1 species
GAUGAACGCUGGCGGCGUGCCUAAUACAUGCCAGUCGAGCGAACAGAUGAGGAGCUUGCUCCUCUGACGUUAGCGGCGGACGGGUGAGUAACACGUGGAUAACCUACCUAUAAGACUGGGAUAACUUCGGGAAACCGGAGCUAAUACCGGAUAAUAUAUUGAACCGCAUGGUUCAAUAGUGAAAGACGGUUUUGCUGUCACUUAUAGAUGGAUCCGCGCCGCAUUAGCUAGUUGGUAAGGUAACGGCUUACCAAGGCAACGAUGUGUAGCCGACCUGAGAGGGUGAUCGGCCACACUGGAACUGAGACACGGUCCAGACUCCUACGGGAGGCAGCAGUAGGGAAUCUUCCGCAAUGGGCGAAAGCCUGACGGAGCAACGCCGCGUGAGUGAUGAAGGUCUUCGGAUCGUAAAACUCUGUUAUUAGGGAAGAACAAAUGUGUAAGUAACUAUGCACGUCUUGACGGUACCUAAUCAGAAAGCCACGGCUAACUACGUG